UGCCCCAUGGCUGAGUUGGUUACAGCGUCCGACUGUUAUUCACUGGCAUCGGAAGGUCGUGAGUUCGAGCCUCACUGGGGCAG
rnacentral:tRNA from 1 species